UAUCUUUCAAGUGUCUGACUUAUCAACUUUAGACGGUACAUUAUAUGUCUACCGUGGUUGUAACGAGUACAGAGAAUCAGGGUUUGGUUCUGGAGAGGCCGCCUGAGAAACGGCGACCACUUCCAAGGAAGGCAGCAGGCGCGCAAAUUACCCACUCUCAAAACGAGGAGGUAGUGAAGAGAAAUAACGAUGUUAGUCUUUUAUAGGCUGACAAUCGGAAUGGGAACACUGUAAACAGGUUAUCGAUUAACAAUUGGAGGGCAAGUCUGGUGCCAGCAGCCGCGGUAAUUCCAGCUCCAAUAAGGAAAACUAAAGUUGCUGUGUUUAAAAAGCUCGUAGUUGAAUUUCGGGUAUUUGUUGCUAGCUGGUCUAACUGGCCAUGUUGGUUAACAGAUCCUCAUUUGCUGGACGGCUGGCGAUGAUCUUCAUCGAUUGUCGUCAGUUGCCAGCACGUUUACUUUGAGAAAAUUAGAGUGCUAAAAGCAGGCUCACGCCUAUAUAUUGCAUGGAAUAAUG
rnacentral:rRNA from 1 species